AGAAUCAACACUGGCGGCGUGCCUAACACAUGCAAGUCGAACGAGAAAGUGGAGCAAUCCAUGAGUAAAGUGGCGCACGGGUGAGUAACACGUGACUAACCUACCCUUGAGUGGGGAAUAACCUAGGGAACCUGGGCUAAUACCGCAUAACACCUACGGGUCAAAGGAGCAAUUCGCUUAAGGAGGGGGUCGCGGCAGAUUAGCUAGUUGGCGGGUAAUGGCCCACCAAGGCAGUGAUCUGUA
rnacentral:rRNA from 1 species